UACAGAGGUCCCAAGCGUUGUUCGGAUUCACUGGGCGUAAAGGGUGCGCAGGCGGUUGGGUGUGUCAGGUGUGAAAUCCCGAGGCUUAACCUCGGAACUGCGUCUGAAACUACUCGACUAGAGUACUGGAGAGGGAAACGGAAUUCACGGUGUAGCAGUGAAAUGCGUAGAUAUCGUGAGGAACACCAGAGGCGAAGGCGGUUUCCUGGACAGUUACUGACGCUCAGGCACGAAAGCAUGGGGGAGCAAAAAGGG
rnacentral:rRNA from 1 species